rfam:Aedes albopictus isolate Foshan contig85060, whole genome shotgun sequence.
UAGCCUAGUAAUUAAGGCUAUGGAUUGCCAAUCCGGAGACGGCGGGUUCGAUUCCCGU